GCAGUCCCUCUUCGUAUCGAACUAGCAUCAAGAGGAAAAAAAAUAGAGAGUGCGGAAAUGAGAGCGAGAGCCUAGCAAGUUUUGUUACCAAACAACCAAAUAUAAGGAGGAUACCGUGAGGAAGACAGGAGAAGCUGGGAAUAGGACUAAGGAACUAGAACCGGAACUUAAGCAGCUUGCACCAACGAACUUUGAGGAAGAAAAAGGUAACAACUCACUGUUUAAAUGGUAUAAUUGGUAUAACAUGAACUAUAAGUUGAGCUUAGUUAGAACUGUAACUUCUGGUUCAAGGAAGUGGUGUGCAGAAACUGUAAAAAUGUAGAAAACUGAGCUUCGACUGAAGAAAUGAAGUAUUUCGGUUAGUUAUCAGGAGUAAUAACUCUAGAAUUUCCUGUGAUAGUCUGUAAAGUAUGCAUGGCAUCUUGAUUACUUCACGCCUGAGAUGAUAAGCUCGAGAGAGAGAACUAAACUUGAAGGAAAUCUAAUGUCUGCUGUUAUGUAGCAGAUUUUGCAGCUAAGUACAGGAGCGAGGCUUAGUCCAACCUUUCUUCUAAAUCCUGGUCAUAAACUGCCUUAUCUUACGUAAGAUAAUUUGUAGCUGAGUCAUUUCUCUUCAUACAGUUAGCUGGAACAUAAAACUGAAGAGAAACAAAAGGGAAAUGCAACUGCUAAGUCUUUACCUGCUGGAACUUUUUUUAGCUUCGUCCGAGAGAAAGGAACUGGUUGUGCAGAUCGUAUGGUACAAUUUUCUUAUAGAAGCUCAAGCUAUACGCUACUUCCUUGUCUUACCUGAGAACCUAGUGUAGAGUUGAUAGCUUGAGUGAGAAUAUUUCAAUGAUUAGCAGGAAGUUUUGCUUAGCUGACCGAGAGAAGAAAUAAGGAAACUGUCCAGGUUUCUUUAUAGAUUUUGGUUCCAAACUCCUACGAAUUCAUUGUCUAAUGUUUUGGUCUUAACAUGCAUGUUGGAUUUGGGAGUGAAAUGGCGUAGUUAAUGGGAAAUUUCUUGCUUAAAAAGUGAU
rnacentral:lncRNA from 1 species